GACAGAGGGUGCAAACGUUGUUCGGAUUUACUGGGCGUAAAGCGCGUGUAGGCGGCUUUGCAAGUCGGAUGUGAAAUCCCUCGGCUCAACCGAGGAAGUGCAUCCGAAACUGCUGAGCUUGAGUACUUAAGAGGAUCGCGGAAUUCCCGGUGUAGAGGUGAAAUUCGUAGAUAUCGGGAGGAACACCAGUGGCGAAGGCGGCGAUCUGGGAAGAUACUGACGCUGAGGUGCGAAAGCGUGGGGAGCAAACAGG
rnacentral:rRNA from 1 species